AAACAUAUAGGAAAAUCAGAUAAAGCCAAAUAUAACAAUUACUCUAAGCUUGAAUUCUUAAACCCUGAACCGAAAUUCUGGAUUUGUAUCCCCAGCAGAGUUGCUAGAGCUGUCACACCUCCUUUUUACUACACCCACAAGGGCAUAAAAGAGUUUUUCCAAUUAAAGGACAAUCAAAACGGGAUUUAUAUAUUAAGAUUUAGAGUUGCCACUUGCAAGAUUAAUGGUGUCCCAAGUCACCGGUUGAAUCCUGAAUCGAGUAAAAGAAUGACUAUGCUUAACAGUCCGUG
rnacentral:lncRNA from 1 species